GACUCAACACGGGGAAACUCACCAGGUCCAGACACAAUGAGGAUUGACAGAUUGAGAGCUCUUUCUUGAUUUUGUGGUUGGUGGUGCAUGGCCGUUCUUAGUUCGUGGGGUGACUUGGCGAUUUAAUUAUGAUAACGAACGAGACCUUAACCUGCUAAAUAGCCCGCGUUGCUUCGGCAGCGCGCCGGCUUCUUAGAGGGACUAUCGGUGUAAGCCGAUGGAAGUUUGAGGCAAUAACAGGUCUGUGAUGCCCUUAGAUGUUCUGGGCCGCACGCGCGCUACACUGAUCAAGUCAACGAGUUUACAACCUUGGCCGGAAGGUCUGGGUAAUCUUUUGAAACUUGAUCGUGCUGGGGAUAGUCCAUUGCAAUUAUUGGACUUCAACGAGGAAUUCCUAGUAAGCGUGAGUCAUCAGCUCGCGUUGAUUACGUCCCUGCCCUUUGUACACACCGCCCGUCGCUACUACCGAUUGAAUGGCUUAGUGAGGCUUUCGGAUUGGAUCUGAGCAGCUGGCAACAGCAGCUUGGAACUGAAAAGUUAUCCAAACUUGGUCAUUUAGAGGAAGUAAAAGUCGUAACAAGGUUU
rnacentral:rRNA from 1 species